ACUGCAAAACAAAGGCCAGAAGUGAUUGAGGUAAGUCGAGCUAUUUACCAUAGUGUUACCUCGAGAAAUUCUUUCUAGGGCCCUGCUGAAAGGUACUGAGAAUGACCAGCACAAGAGGGGAAACAAUAGGGAAUCCUUGCAAUCUACUUUUAGCCUUCCCUUUUUCAAAUGCUUGGUCAGAUUUUGGGGGUAGGGGUCAGUCUGGGAGGUCUCAGCUCCAUUCUGGCCUUUUAAGGCCAGAUAUUGCACUAUCAUAGGAUCUCCUAUCCCACUUUCCUUAAGAUUUGAACUGCUGAAAAACUUAAAUGUAAGACCAGCUCCUUACCUUGACCUUGGAUCCUUCAGCUUCUGGUUCCAGAGUUUCCUGUAAGAUCAAAUAUCAGCACUUGUGGAGACUGAUAUAGAAAACACUUUAAACACAUCUAAAUUAGCCAUUGGGAUAGUUCUAUAUAGGUCCAGAUGUCCUCCCUAAUGAGAUGUUUAUUUGUUUUCUUGUUUUUUUAUAUAAAAACAAAACAUAACAAAGGCCAAGAUCAAACCGAAUUGUGGCACUGCUCAACUCCAACUUUUGCUUUGGGGGAGAUCCUGCAUCCAGCAUGUGGCAUUGUUUUGGUUCUGUCCCAGAGACCCUGUUAUCAUUUCAGCAUGUGUGUGUGUGUGUGUGUUAGGAGUUACUUGAGAAACUGCACAUCGCUUCUGGUGUGAGAGAAUUGGCUGUCUACAAGGACGUUGCCCAGAGGACACCUGGAUUUUUUACCAUCCUGUGGGAGGCUUCUCUCAUGUCCCCUCAUGGGAAGCUGAAGCUGACAGACAGGAUCUCACCCCACUCCCCGACUUCAAACUGCCGAUCUUUCGGUCAGCAGUCCUGCCGGCACAAGGAUUUAACCCAGUGUGCCACUGGGGGUUCCACCAAUGCAGAAGCCUGUUGUCACCCGCCCUUCUCGAGGGAAGCCCAGCAUCCCACAGACCACUCGAGUGUUGUUGCGAGUCCAGCCAGCAUCACACACCUGGCGCCAGCGUCCUUGGAGCUUCACUUCAACAGCACCUUCUGUGAUGGGAGAACUUAACUUGGCCCGGGCCAGGAUUGGCUUAAUCCGCACCUCUUCCACUUUGGAGCCCUGCCCAAAGAAGAGAAGGAGGGUAUGUCGCUAUGCUUCUCUGAGCUCCAGUGUAUUAAGCUCUAAUGAGCUUUGUCUCAGUUCUAUGGUCCAUUCAUUAUCAAAGUCCCAGUGGAUUAUGUGGGAUCUACAUCCAAGUAUAAUGCAUAAGGUGGAGUUCAAGGCUUUUGGGAAGGUGGAAGGAAGUGCAGCUCAAAUGCCUCACAAACAGUCCUCACCUGAAAGUGUGAAGAAGCAGGAUUUGGUCGUCUCAGGCCUGUGCAUACCACACCAAUGUCCUCAUUAUGGUUGCAGUCGCUCACACCCCAACCAUUGGAUUCACAUUCAGCCAGGGAACUUUCGGUGCCAGAGCAACGCAUAUUGUCCAACCAGAUGGGACCUGUCAGCAAAAGGACGUCUGGUCAUUAUUUUUCAUGGGUUACCAUUGAAGCCUACUCUGCCCCGGUUAGACACCCUCUUUCUAGGAAACACAUCUAUGUUUUUAAGGACAACCUAACCUUCCCCAUCCUGGCACCUUUAGCUAUGUCAGACAGAAUAGUCAGCUGGGAUUAUAGGAAUUGUUGUUCAAUGUAGCUGGAAGAUGGUCAGGUUGAAGGAGGCCAUUCCAUCCUCACAUUGCGAGUAACACUGUUGGAUUAGUUAUUUUGAGAUAUUAGAACAGUAUUUGACAAGAAAUAUCAUAGAACUUACUAAUCAUAUAAAUUUUGGUGUGACCUAUAGAUAAAUCAAUGGUUAUUCCAUGAAAGUGCCAGCAUUGUCUUAGGGUCCUAGCUGUCCCUGGCACCCCAAGGGUUUACUAUAUACAGUAAGUAGGGAACCCUAGUUUAUUUUAAGCUGUCAAGGGGACAAGGCAAUUCUGUAAGAUAUUUAAGUCUUCCGUAAGAUAUUUGCAGGCCUUCUAAGCAAGAUGGUAUAAUACAAUUCAGCAGAAAAUGUGCAAUGGUUGAGAGAUAUUCCAAAUAUUCAGCCCACUUGGCCGCAUCUGGCAUUUCACAGCUCUUUGACCUGGAUACAGACUUCAAUUUCAGGAGGGUAUGCUGUAAACUUAUGCAAACUCAUUUCUGUUUAGUGCCACACCAAGUUGGCAGCUUUUUUUGCUCUUGGCAGAGAAACUGACACUUUGGAACAUUAAGCAGAAUUGAAACACGCCUUACACAGGAGUCCCUACCUGAAGGCUUUAUGGUGUUUCCUGCUGGGCAAGAUGACUGUACUGGAACCCUCUCCUACUUGUUUCAAGUAGCUGGUGGCAACAGAGCUGAUAUUUCAAAGCCCAUUGCCUAUUCAUGCCACUCCAGUGGUCAGUUUAUCCCAAAAAGAGAUUCUACAGUUCAGUGCAGUGAAGCAACUACACCCUACAGUCGGAAAGUCUGGAGCAUGAUGUAAGUAUACGGAAAUGACUGUGAUUACUGUUAACACACUCCAUACCUGGACAAAAACACUCUUCAUUAACCCUGCUGGUAAAAACAGAUCCAGGGCUUUGAACUGUUUAGUCUACCACCUAAAACUGAGCUUGUUCCACCCCUGUAUCCCCUCUUUGCAGCCCCUCCUUACCGUCUCCUGGGCCAUAUUUGGCACUGUGAGCCCAAUUUGUGGCCCCUUCAUAGCCCAGCUCCCUGCAGGCCACGCCGGCUACGUAGAUGUUAAAAUCGUCAUCGCACACGGUGCCCCACUGUCCAUCGUACAGCACUUCUAGACGACCUUCUCCCACUUGGCUCCUGGGCCCCACAAGGCGCAGCUGAAUAUGUGGGCGUUGUGCCCAGCUGGGUGCCCCCAGGCAAACCAGGAAGCUGAGGAGAGCAAAGUGAUGCGGAGCCAGAAGGAGCAUUGUUGAUGGAAGAUGGCAGAGAUACCUGGGAGACACAAGGAAGUUGGUUAGAAGUAGUAUGGCUUCCUGAGAAAGGAAAAAAUCCAUAGAGAGAGAGGUGGGGCAGAGACCUAGGCUGGAUAGUGAAGGGAGGGCAAUUAUUUAGAGGCAAAUUUGAUUCAGAGGAUACUUAUGAGAGUCCCAAUUUCCAAAGAGAAUCCAGAAAUGCAAGCUGCUAUGUUAGUCCAUACAACAAUAUUUUGUUGCUUGAGAAAUCUAUGCCUUUCCUCCAACUACUCUGAAUAUUGUAGCUAAUCUUAGAGGGAACAAAAUAAACCUGGGAAGCGGGAAAACUGAGAAUGUGGCAUCCCACCUAGCCAAGAAGACUAGUGCUUGAACUCUGCCCAUGAGCUCUGCCUCUGCUCCCUCACAACUUUUCUCCAAGUACUCCAGAUCUUCCAGGGCAGAGGUGUGUUGUUUUAACAGGAUGAGCCUUCUCGACUUGCCCCACAACACCACCUGUCCUGUUCCCCUAAGGCAGUGGUUCUCAACCUGAGGACCCCAGAUAUUUUUGGCCUACAACUCCCAGAAGUCCCAGCCAGUUUACCAGCUUUUUGGAUUUCUGGGAGUUGAAGGCCAAAAACAUCUGGGGAACCGAGGUUGAGAAUCACUGUCCUAAGGACUGGUCACCUUUGUGUGUUGAAGGAUGCCACCUUUGACAGCCAUAAAGAUAGGUGAAAUAAAUAAACAAACUUUAUUUAUACCCCACCACCAUCUCCCCGAAGGGACUCGGGGUGGCUCACAAAAGCACACUAGAGUGCCACACAUGGAAUAAACAAUACAUAAACAUAAAAACAAUAACAACAUAAAAUUACAGCCACAAACAAAACGAACACACAUUCAUCACAUAAUAAAAUUUUAAAAUAUAUAAAAUGCAGUAGUACCUGCAGAUAAAACUGGGUGUCAUCAAUUAACAAACUAAAGUGCCGUAGUAAACAGUCCUGACAUGCAGCCAUUGAAGACUACUCAAGGUCAAAGGCCCAUUUGAAAAGCCAUGUUUUUAGACUAGACUGAAAUGUUUGGAGAGUGGAGGCUAACCUAAUCAUUCUAGGGAGGGCAUUACAGAGCUAAGGAGCCACCACCAAGAAGGCCCUCUCUCUUAUCCCCACCCACAGUACUUGGGAUGGUGGUGGGACCAAGAGAAGGGCCUCCCCGGCAGAUCUCAGAGCCCACAGUAGUCUCGAAGAUAGGUUGGACCCAAAGCGUAUAGGGUUUUAUAGGUGAUAAUCUGCCCUUUGAAUUGGGCCCGGAAGCUUGUAGGAAGCCAGUGGACCUGCUUUAAUAGGGGCAUGGUUUAUCCCCUAUAGCUAGCCCCAGUUAGUAAUCUAACUGCCAACCUUUGCACUAAUUGCAGGUUCCAAACCGUCUUCAAGGGCAGCCUCACGUAGAGUGCAUUACAGUAGUUCAUUCUGGAUGUAACUAGGGCAUGGACCAUCAUUGUUGGUUACGAUUAGUUGUAAAAACACUAGUAACAAAAGAAGAUAAAACUGCACAAAAGAAGAUAAAACUUCCCAGAAUGAGAGGAAAGACCAACAUAACAUGUCACCUUCCCACCUUCCACAUGCCCAAGACCACGAGGUCUCAUCAUCCAUAUUCCUCUAAAUCAGGCAUGGGCAAACUUUGGUCCUCCAGGUGUUUUAGACAUCUGUUGUGGGAACUGAAGUCCAAAACACCUGGAGGGCCAAAGUUUGCCCAUGCCUGCAAUGGAGUCCGUUCAGUGGCUGCCUAGUCUGACUUCCCCAAUGUAUUAAUGGACUUGGGUUCCUUCAGGACUGGCCUGGAGAGAGAUGGGCAGGGAAGCUAUCAGUGGAUGCAUCUACAGCAAUGGUUCCCAACCUGUGGUCCGCGGACUGCCAGUGGUCUGCAAGAACUAAAAUAUGAUCUGCAGCCUCACCGUUACUACAUGGUUGCAAUGAGAGUGACUGGCCUCGCGAAACAGGCAAUGGGGAUGUCGGGAGAGAAAAGACUGACUACCCAUGAAAAGCAGGACAACUACCCUCCUGACUACUGCUUCUCCUCCUCCCUCCCUCUGAGUGGAGCCCUUCUAUGUGGUGCUUGGAAGCAGGGGCGCCUUGGUGUCUUCGUUUUUAGGCGUGUUCCUGGGGUUAUUUGGGGUGCUGAUUCAGAAAAUUGCAUUGGAUAGACCACAUCAGCUCUAUAUUUUCUUUUCAUGUCAGGAGCAACUUGAGAAACUGCAAGUUGCUUCUGCCGUGAGUAAAUUUGCCGUCUGCAAGGACGUUCCCCAGGGGACGCCCAGAUGUUGAUGUUUUACCAUCCUUGUGGGAGGCUUCUCUCAUGUCCCCGCAUAGGGAACAGGAGCUGACAGAGGGAGCUCACCCGCUCUCCCUGGUUUCAAACUACCAACCUGUCGGUCAGCAGUCCUGCCAACACAAGGGUUUAACCCAUUGCGGGGAGGGGGGGGGGCGCUAGACUAUUAAACAUGGUUUUCUGUGAGCAAGCAGAUGGCGACUACUUGAUGGCAUAUGUUCUGUAUCAGAAACUAGAGCUGAUGUGGUCUAUCCAAUGUAAUUUUCUGAAUCAGCACACCAAAUAACCAAAUUGAAUCUAAAGUUGACCAAAAACGGAUUCAUAACCCUUUUGGUGCUAAUGUUGGAGAGUGGUCCCUGGUCAAAAAAAGGUUAGGAACUACUGAUCUACAGUAUCGAAUUAGUGAAGUUUGACACCACGUUUACCGCCUGGUUCAAUGCUCUGGAAUCCUGGGAGUUAAAGUUUUUAUGAGGUUUUGAGCUUUCCCCGCCGAGGAGCGCUGAUGCCUCAGCAAACUCCAAAUCCCAGGAUUCCUUAGCAUUGAGCCAUAGCAGUUAAAGUAAUGCCAAACUGCAUUAAAUGGGGUAGAGUAGAUGAACCCACCCGGACUGCCCCCCCAGCCCUCCAGAAGCGACGCCUCUCCGAAAGAGUCAGACUGCAACUCUCAUCAUCCACGGCCACCCGAGGCGAUGCCUCCCUGACUGAUGACACAGCCCUUGAGGACGGGUCCCUAUCCACCCAGGGUCUCGCAUCGGGCAAAAAACCCAAGGAGUCCCCUUCCCCUUGCGACUCACCUGCAAGCGCUGCGCUGGGCACCUUUCGCGGGUGGCAGGAGGGCGAAGGAGGCUGAGGGGAGUUUCCACGCGAGAAGUGCGGAGGCGGAGGCGCGGUCCACGCCAGUCUCAGGGAGCCAAGGAUGAGCCGCCUCCAGUCCGCCCCGUCUGCAGCCCGUGCGCCCUCCCAGCCCCCUUUUAUCCGCGGCGGCCCCCCCGCAGCCCGGUUCCUGGACAAAUCAGUGCCAAGGUGGGGUUUGGGGGGGAGGAAAGGAGGGUGAAAGGGCGAGACGGAGCCUCGACUGCCUCGGGGACGAAGGGGAGGGAGCCCAGGAAUAGGGUGACCACCACGACGGGUUUUGCGUGUUUCCUGUUUCUCACCUCUUGGGUCCUUCUGUGCCGUUUAAAGCUGCUGGGAGAGCGAGAAAUGCAGCCGCUUCCCUUUCGCCCUGGGCAAACCAGCCAUCACCUGUUGGGUCCCUUCCUGCCUGGUGCACUCGCUCAGUUGAGCCAAAAAGCAGUAACUUUGGCAAACUUCACGGGUGUAUAUUGUCCCACUUCCCCAUCGACUCUCUCUGAGUCCCCUUCUACACUGCUAUAUAAUCCAGAUUAUCAUAGAAUCAUUGAGUUGGAAGAGACUUAGUGAGCCAUCCAGUCCAACCUGCUGCCAAGAAGCAGGAAAAUUGCUUUCAAAGCCCCCCAGACAGAUGGCCAUCCAGCCUCUGCUUAAAAGCCUCCCAAGAAGGAGCCUCCACCACACUCUGGGGCAGAGAGUUCCACUGCUGAACAGCUCUCACAGUGAGGAAGUUCUUCCUAAUGUUCAAGUGGAAUCUCCUUUCCUGUAGUUUGAAGGCAUUGUUCUGCAUCCUAGUCUCCAGGGCAGCAGAAAACAAGCUUGCUCCCUCCUCCCUAUGACAUACCCUCACAUCUUGAUCCAUGGCCCUCAUCAUGUCUCCUCUCAGCCUUCUCUUCUGCAGGCUAAACAUGUCCAGCUCUUUAAGCCGCUCCUCAUAGGACUUGUUCUCCAGACUCUUGAUCAUUUUAGUCGCCCUCCUCUGGAUACAUUCCAGCUUGUCAACGUCUCCCUUCAAUUGUGGUGCCCAGAAUUGGACUCAGUAUUCCAGAUGUGGUCUGACCAAGGCAGAAGAGAUGGGUAGCAUGACUUCCCUGGAUCUAGACACUAGACUCCUAUUUAUGCAGGACAAAAUACCAUUGGCUUUUCAAGCAUGUUUAACUUGUUCACAAGGACUCCAAGGUCUUUUUUACAUGUACUGCAGUCGAGCCAGGCGUCCCCCAUUCAGUAUCUUUGCACCAAUUUAACUGCUUUGAACUUAGAUUAGCUCUGACUCUGUCCACCUUCUGCGGGGACUUGAAAACCUGGAUGUUCCAGUGUGCCUUUGAAUGACGGCUUCGUUCCUGAUCAUGACUGCCCAGCCCUAAUGUACUGAUAAGGUUUAUUUACCUCCUGCCCUGGACCUAUAGUCUGCGUUUUGCACAAGUCCUUGCCCUGCCCUCUCUAAUCUGAUCUUGCCUACCAUAUUCCUGGUUACUGGUGAUUGAGGUUGGUUUGAUUCAUUUUUAUGAUUUUUAUACUCUACUGGUUUUAAUUGUUUUAAUUAGAUUAUGUUAUAUAUUAUUACCGGUGGCGCAGCAGGUUAAACCACUGAGCUUCUGAACUUGCUGACCGAAAGGUUGGUGGUUCGAAUCCGAGGAAUGGAGUGAGCUCCCACUGUUAGCCCCAGCUUCUGCUAACCUAGCAGUUCGAAAACAUGCAAAUGUGAGUAGAUAAAUAGGUACUGAUCCAGCGGGAAAGUAACGGCCCUCCAUACAGUCAUGUCGACCACAUGACCUAGGAGGUGUCUACGGACAAUGCUGGCUCUUCGGCUUAGAAAUGGAGAUGAGCACCAACCCCCAGAGUUGGACACGACUAGUUUUAAUGUCAGGGGAAAACCUUUGCUGUAUGUUAUUAUUUUUUAAAUUGUGUCUUAGCUUGUAAAUUUUUGUUUGUGCUGGGCUUGGUCCCCAUAUAAGCUGCCCCGAAUCCCUUCGGGGAGAUGGUGGCGGGAUAUAAAAAUAAAGUUGUUGUUGCUAUUAUUA